GAUGAACGCUGGCGGCGUGCUUAACACAUGCAAGUCGAACGAUAUCCAUUAGCAAUAGUGGUGAAAGUGGCGAACGGGUGAGUAACACGUAGAUAACCUGCCCUGAAGCGGGGGAUAACGGCUGGAAACGGUCGCUAAUACCGCAUGAGUCCAUUGAAGCGGGAGUGAGAUGGAGAAAAGCAAGGUGCUUGAGGAGGGGUCUGCGUCCGAUUAGCUAGUUGGUGAGGUAAAGGCUCACCAAGGCGACGAUCGGUAGCUGGUCUGAGAGGACGAUCAGCCACACGGGAACGGAGACACGGUCCCGACUCCUACGGGGGGCAGCAGUGAGGAAUAUUGGGCAAUGGGCGGAAGCCUGACCCAGCAACGCCGCGUGGAGGAUGAAGGCCUUCGGGCCGUAAACUCCUUUUUUGGGGGAAGAGGAAGGACGGUACCCUGAGAAUAAGUCACGGCUAACUACGUGCCAGCAGCCGCAG
rnacentral:rRNA from 1 species